CUUGACAAUUCAAAUUGAGAGUGAAGUGAAUCCACAUGGUUUGAUCACAAGUUGCAAGGGCUUAGAAUUCUUUUCAAUUUCUAUAUAUCUCUUUCGAAUCGAAUCAAGAAUUUUAGGGUUCAGAAACAUGAAACCCUAACAUGACGAUGUUGAAUCGUUCAGAAAUUUCUUUAGGGUUCGAGCAAUGAGAUAUUGGAAGACAUUAACGAAAGAACAAGAACGAAUCGGUUUCCCUAACAGAGAAGAAAUCGAAUCGGGGACUCACACUUGGAGGGAGAUUUUUCCAUUAACGAAAGAACGAAUCGGUUUCGCUAACGGAGAAGAAAUUGGGUCGAAGAUCGGUUUCUUGUUACUAGGGUUGAAUUGAUUCGAUGAUCAAUUACAAAGAAAUUGAAUUCGAAAUUGGAAAGAUUGAAAACGGUAACAAAGAAACCCAAACACAA
rnacentral:lncRNA from 1 species